AUGACUAACUAUGGCAUCAAGUUCAAGCACAUCAGGAGUGACAUUGACAUGAAAUUCAGGAACACUAGCCUUAACACUUAUCUUGAUACAUUGGGCAUCACUCAUGAGCUCUCUGCUCUGUACACACCUCAGCAGAAUGGCGUCGUGGAGCGCAAGAACAAGACUCUUAUUGGGAUGGCUUGUACGAUGCUUUAUGAGUACAAGACUACAAGAAAGUUCUGGCCUGAAGCCAUUGAUACAUCAUGCCAUAUCAUCAACAGAGUUUAUCUUCACAAAUUCUUCAAGAAUACAUCUUAUGAACUACUCACUGUUAAGAAGCCAAACACAAGCUAUUUCAAAGUGUUCGGUGCUAGGUGUUGGAUAAGGAUCCACAUCACACUUCCAAAUUUGCACCAAAAGCACAUGAAGGUUUUAUGCUCGGUUACAAAAAGGAUUCGCACACCUACAUAG
rnacentral:rRNA from 1 species